rnacentral:piRNA from 1 species
UAUAUUUCCAAUUCGUUUAAA